GUUAGAGACAGGGCUUGAUUUGUUCCUUUAUCAUCUUGAAUUUUGAAUUUUGAUUUGAUGGGUGUCUUGUUUUGAAUCAGAUCUAUUUUAUAUGUUCUCCUCUAUACCGCGGGAUCUUAAUUUCAUUGAUCACACGAGCGACAUCGACUGGAAGGAAUUUCAAAGGGCGAAGCCUAUUAUCAUCGAUCCAGGGCUAUAUAUGUCAAAGAAAGCAGAUGUCUUCUGGAUUACCCAGAGAAGGAGCGUCCUGACUGCAUUUAAACUAUUUACAAUUUGACCACCAGUCUUCAGGGAGCUUAGAUUUGCAGCAUGGGAGUUCUGAAAGUUCAAAUAUGAGAGAUGUUAGACAAGGUUCAAGCCCAGGUUCAAAAGUCACUAGGGGAGUAUGUGUAGCAUGCACUUCUAUACGGCAAGAUUUUUCUAACCUGACAAUGGUUUUUCCUCCUAGAUCUUUGCAUGCUGAGUAAUCAACCUCAAUCCGAGCUCUCCAGUUAGGCAGCAAUGUAGCAGUUUGUCCUCCAUGCUUGAAUGAAGGAUUGUAAUUGAUUCAUUAUUGAAUGAAUGAUUGUAAUUGAAUGAAUGAAUGAUUGUAAUUGAAUGAAUGAAUGAAUGAUU